GCAGCGCCCCGCACGCCAGGCACCGAUCCCCGCCCCGGGCUCUCCCGAGCUGCGGGGCUGUCGGCGGAGCGGUGCCUCCCUCCCAGCCCGGGAACAUGCCAGCAGGGAUGGGGCUGAAAUCCUUCUGGAUCAGGAGUGGAGACAAAUUCUGCUCUGUUUGUAAACACUCCAAGGCUAAAAUUAGCAGGAGUCAGAAUCGUUUAUAAACUUCAAGCUCCCCCAACCGUCUUGAGGAACAUCGCAGGCAUACCGACACAUCUGCCGCCGAUUUAAAUAGCUCCCGGCAUCACCUUCCCUGCGAGUGCCUCCCGCGCCCGCCCGCCAGCUGACUGCUCCCCCUGCCAGCCCCUCGCCUCUCUUUAGGCUCCUUGACUUGACAACACCACCACCACUGACCGAGCACAUUUUCAGGUGGAGGAGCUAUCCACGUCCUCCAUAACACCUUGCAGAGACUGGAAGAAAAGCCUCGUUCAACCAGAAUAUUAGCCCAGCACAAAGGGGGGGGGUUCAGGGUCUGAUCAAACAUUGGAAGACCAGGAAAACUCUCACAGCAUGAGUGGUUUUUAAGCAGGCUUGUGCUGUGCAAUUUCAAGUUUGAGGGAAAACUAAGCCACAUUGUGUAUAGCAGACAACAUUAACUAGGAUGCAUAAGCCCCAUAUGUGUCUCUCCUUUCAGCAGUUACAGGCAACAGCUUAUAAAAGUGACCUUGGCUGUGUCUGAAGGAAAACAUGACAAUAGAGAAGUGGGGUUUUUUGAGUGGUUUGCUCAGUGUGUUCGAUAAAAUCUAUGCUUCUCAGAACAGGCUGCUAACCAAAUGCUGAACAAUCUGAAUAUGUCAUGUCAACAGUUAGUCUCAAGAGUUUGUAGAUCCUGACAUACCAACUUGACUUUUUUUGUUUUGCAAAGCACUUGAAACAUGCAACUACACAUACAGUGCUUUUUUAAAAGCCAUAGUGAAACCACAACAUCUUUUUUUUGGCCAUCUAUUGGCUUCAUAAAACUGAAGGAGAUUAAAUUAUACACUAAGCAGGUGGUGUAUUCUAAAAAGAAAGAAACAAAAAACAGCAUUACAGCCCAAUAAAGUAAACAUCUUAAGAAAAUGUCAGAACAAUACUACUUGGAAUUCUAUCCAGUGGUGGAGAAUAUGUCCAGGAGUUUUUUUGAAAGAGAAAAUCCAUGACCAUAAACCUGAGGUUACAGAAGGAACUCACAGAAAGAGCUGAAUUUAUUUAAGAGAGAAAAACAACCGAACCAAAAAGUAUAACUCCUCUGCUUGGUGUUAUUGGCUCAACAUGGGAAAACUAACAUCUCCACCUCCACCAAAGAAAUAAAUAGAAUUCCAUGAGAAGGGAUUGGGAGAUCUUACUGAGCUUAUUUCAUACAACUAAUACAAUUGGUACCACUGCUGGGGUUCUUUUUGAGAAAAAAAAAAAAGGAAAAUAUUAAAUUAGAUGUUUGUAAAGAGCAAUCAGGAUAUUCUGGACACAUGACUUUAUUAAAUACAGCUGCUUACCACCCUUA